GAGGCAGAUCCAGGACCAGACGUCACUGCCCAACUUCGAUCCGUACACAGGAGAGAGACGGCACUGACUCUGUGAACCAAACAGUGGAACACCCACAGAAGGCAGAGGGGAAUGUAAUGAAUCGCGGACGCAGUGUGUCUAUCCGCCCAAGAAGGCCAAUAACUGAAGACGAGAAAACUGUCUGCCGUGAGAGAGGCAGAUCCAGGACCAGACGCCACUGCCCAACUUCA